rnacentral:rRNA from 1 species
AUUGAACGCUGGCGGCAGGCCUAACACAUGCAAGUCGAACGAGUGGCGGACGGGUGAGUAAUGUCUGGGAAACUGCCCGAUGGAGGGGGAUAACUACUGGAAACGGUAGCUAAUACCGCAUACCAUCGGAUGUGCCCAGAUGGGAUUAGCUAGUAGGUGGGGUAAAGGCUCACCUAGUCGACGAUCCAUAGCUGGUCUGAGAGGAUGACCAGCCACUGUUGGACUGAGACACGGUCCAGACUCCUACGGGAGGCAGCAGUGGGGAAUAUUGCACAAUGGGCGCAAGCCUGAUGCAGCCAUGCCGCGUGUAUGAAGAAGGCCUUCGGGUUGUAAAGUACGUUCAGCGGGGAGGCGUUACCCGCAGAAGAAGCACCGGCUAACUCCGUGCCAGCAGCCGCGGUAAUUC